GACGAACGCUGGCGGCGUGCUUAACACAUGCAAGUCGAACGGUGAAGCGAGUGCUUGCACUCGUGGAUCAGUGGCGAACGGGUGAGUAACACGUGAGUAACCUGCCCAUCACUCUGGGAUAAGCACUGGAAACGGUGUCUAAUACUGGAUACGACCAACCCUUGCAUGGGGUGUUGGUGGUAAGAUUUAUCGGAGAUGGAUGGAUUCGCGGCCUAUCAGCUUGUUGGCGGGGUAAUGGCCCACCAAGGCGACGACGGGUAGCCGGCCUGAGAGGGUGACCGGCCACACUGGGACUGAGACACGGCCCAGACUCCUACGGGAGGCAGCAGUGGGGAAUAUUGCACAAUGGGCGAAAGCCUGAUGCAGCGACGCCGCGUGAGGGAUGACGGCCUUCGGGUUGUAAACCUCUUUCAGCAGGGAAGAAGCGAAAGUGACGGUACCUGCAGAAGAAGCACCGGCUAACUACGUG
rnacentral:rRNA from 1 species